UGUUCUUUUUGGCGUCUACAACUGGUAAUU
rnacentral:piRNA from 1 species